rnacentral:rRNA from 1 species
GACGAACGCUGGCGGCGUGCUUAACACAUGCAAGUCGAACGGAAAGGCCCUGCUUUUGUGGGGUGCUCGAGUGGCGAACGGGUGAGUAACACGUGAGUAACCUGCCCUUGACUUUGGGAUAACUUCAGGAAACUGGGGCUAAUACCGGAUAGGAGCUCCUGCUGCAUGGUGGGGGUUGGAAAGUUUCGGCGGUUGGGGAUGGACUCGCGGCUUAUCAGCUUGUUGGUGGGGUAGUGGCUUACCAAGGCUUUGACGGGUAGCCGGCCUUGGAGGGUGACCGGCCCCAUUGGGCCUGAGAGACGGCCCAGACUCCUACGGGAGGCAGCAGUGGGGAAUAUUGCACAAUGGGCGGACGCCUGAUGCAGCAACGCCGCGUGCGGGAUGACGGCCUUCGGGUUGUAAACCGCUUUCGCCUGUGCCGAAGCGUGAGUGACGGUACUGGGUAAAGAAGCACCGGCUAACUACGUG